rnacentral:rRNA from 12 species
AGCGGCAAUACUGUCCUGCGAGUGCCCGAUAAUAUUAGAUCUUGGAAACUAAGUAGGGCUGGGCCUGGUUAGUACUUGAAGAGGAAACCGCCUUGGAAGACUGGGGGGCACUAAAC